UUUUAAACCCGAUUGCAGUGGAAAUCCUUUUUGUUGAUAUAUUUUAUUGUUUGAUAUAACAUUACAAAAAGAUUGAAACGAAAAGCGGGACUAACG
rnacentral:sRNA from 1 species